UACAGAGGGGGCAAGCGUUGUUCGGAAUUACUGGGCGUAAAGGGCGCGUAGGCGGCCUGUUAAGUCGAACGUGAAAUCCCCGGGCUCAACCCGGGAACUGCGUCCGAUACUGGCAGGCUUGAAUCCGGGAGAGGGAUGCGGAAUUCCAGGCGUAGCGGUGAAAUGCGUAGAUAUCUGGAGGAACACCGGUGGCGAAGGCGGCAUCCUGGACCGGCAUUGACGCUGAGGCGCGAAAGCCAGGGGAGCAAACGGG
rnacentral:rRNA from 1 species